rnacentral:rRNA from 1 species
AGGGAUUGCCCUAGUAACGGCGAGUGAAGCGGCAACAGCUCAAAUUUGAAAUCUGGCUUCGGCCCGAGUUGUAAUUUGCAGAGGAUGCUUCUGGCGCGGUGCCUUCCGAGUUCCCUGGAACGGGACGCCACAGAGGGUGAGAGCCCCGUAUGGUCGGACACCAAGCCUGUGUGAAGCUCCUUCGACGAGUCGAGUAGUUUGGGAAUGCUGCUCUAAAUGGGAGGUAAAUCUCUUCUAAAGCUAAAUACCGGCCAGAGACCGAUAGCGCACAAGUAGAGUGAUCGAAAGAUGAAAAGCACCUCGAAAAGGGGGUUAAAUAGUACGUGAAAUUGUUGAAAGGGAAGCACUUGUGACCAGACUUGGGCCGGGCGGCUCAUCAGGGGUUCUCCCCUGUGCACUCCGCCCGGCACAGGCCAGCAUCGGUUCUCGUGGGGGGAUAAGACCGUUAGGAACGUAGCACCCUCCGGGGUGUGUUAUAGCCUGGCGGACGAUACCCCCGUGGGGACCGAGGUUCGCGCUCCGCAAGGAUGCUGGCGUAAUGGUCA